rnacentral:misc_RNA from 1 species
ACACCUCAACUCCCAUGGUUCGCCGUGAUGAGCUUGGACUUUGGGGGUCUUGCUGGCCUAUGGUCGGCUCCUCUCAAAUGGAUCAGCUUGCCAGUGUUUGGUGGCAUCACGGGUGUGAUAACUAUCUACGCCUGCGGUUUCCCACCAGGUAACCUUCAGCAAUGGAGGUUCACUGGGGCUCAUAGAUGUCCCCUCCUCAGCGAGGACAACAUUUGAAC